rnacentral:rRNA from 1 species
UACGUAGGGGGCAAGCGUUGUCCGGAUUCAUUGGGCGUAAAGAGCGUGUAGGCGGCCAGGUAGGUCGGUUGUGAAAACUGGAGGCUCAACCUUCAGAGGUCGACCGAAACCAUCUGGCUAGAGUCCGGGAGAGGAGAGUGGAAUUCCUGGUGUAGCGGUGAAAUGCGCAGAUAUCAGGAAGAGCACCCGUGGCGAAAGCGGCUCUCUGGAACGGUACUGACGCUGAGACGCGAAAGCGUGGGGAGCGAACAGG